rnacentral:rRNA from 1 species
CCUACGGGUGGCAGCAGUGGGGAAUAUUGCACAAUGGGGGAAACCCUGAUGCAGCGACGCCGCGGGAGUGAAGAAGUAAUUCGUUACGGAAAGCUCUAUCAGCCGGGAAGAAAAUGACGGUACCUGAGCAAGAAGCCCCGGCUAACUACGUGCCAGCAGCCGCGGUAAUACGCAGGGGGCAAGCGUAAUCCGGAUUAACUGGGUGUAAAGGGAGCGUAGACGGUGCGGCAAGUCUGGCGUGAAAUGCCGGAGCUUAACUGCGGAACUGCUUUGGAAACUGGCGAACUAGAGUGCGGGAGGGGUAAGCGGAAUUCCUAGUGUAGCGGUGAAAUGCGUAGAUAUUAGGAGGAACCCCGGUGGCGAAGGCGGCUUACUGGACCGUAACUGACGUUGAGGCUCGAAAGCGUGGGGAGCAAACAGGAUUAGAUACCCUAGUAGUC